AGCAUAUGAACCAAAAAGAUCAGAUCCCAUACCAGCAAUAUCCCCAACAUUGUCACCGACGUUAUCAGCAAUCACAGCUGGAUUUCUUGGAUCAUCCUCAGGAAUGUUCCUUUCCACCUUACCCACAAGGUCAGCACCAACAUCAGCAGCUUUAGUGUAGAUACCACCACCAACUCUACCAAAGAGAGCCAUGGAAGAUCCACCAAGACCAUACCCAGUGAUAGACUCAAAAAGACCACCCCAAUCUUCACCAUAGUACAAUUUGAAGAGGUUAAUGGCAAUAAACAAAACCAAGAGACCAUUGGCUGCUAGGAGGAAGCCCAUGACAGCACCAGACCUAAAAGCAGUAAUAAAUGCCUUUCCAACACCUUUUCUUGCCUCCAAGGUGGUUCUGGCAUUUGCAUAUGU
rnacentral:misc_RNA from 1 species